UACGGAGGGUGCAAGCGUUAUCCGGAUUUACUGGGUUUAAAGGGUGCGCAGGCGGAUAUGUAAGUCAGUGGUGAAAUCUCCGGGCUUAACCCGGAAACUGCCGUUGAUACUAUAUAUCUUGAAUGCUGUGGAGGUAAGCAGAAUAUGUCAUGUAGCGGUGAAAUGCUUAGAUAUGACAUAGAACACCAAUUGCGAAGGCAGCUGGCUACACAAAUAUUGACACUGAGGCACGAAAGCGUGGGGAUCAAACAGG
rnacentral:rRNA from 1 species